UUUUGGAAAAGCGCUAAUCAACCACAUAUUCAUCUGGAAUGAAAAUGCCUCUCUAGCAAGACAUUGUGUGAUAAUGAAGUACAGGAGCUGUUGUUCAUCAUUUCCUUCCCUAAUUUGUUCCAAGAUUAGCUGACUUGUCACAGUCAUUUCCUCGUGGUCCACCACCCUGCCAUGACGGUUGAAGGAUAGCAUCAUUGACUGGACUUGCUUCAUUACUAUGGCUUUGCAGAAUGGAUCAACCUCAGGUAGCCCUAUUACAAAAGACCCCACACUUGAUGGAUCAGCUGUCACUACACAGAGCGAUAAACUGGCUCAUCUGGUCUUGUGGUCCUCACGCAGGAACUGACUCAGCUCAAGAGAAAAGCUUCAACUCCCUAUGAUUUCAUCUUUGACCCGACCAACCAGAGCUCCUGACUCACCCACCCACUACCCACCAAAUUAUCCUUAAGAACUCUGAUCCCUGAAUGCUCGGGAAAUUCAUUUGAGUAAAAAUAAAACUCCAGUCUCCUGUACAGCCAGCUCUGUGUAAAUUACUCUUUCUCUGUUGUAAUUCCCGUCUUGAUAAAUUGGCUCAGUCUAGUCAGUGAGCAAGGUGACAAGUCCAAGAGAAAAAAAUAUUUUUUGAAAUACACAUAUGUGAGUGCAUGUACACAUUCCUUGUUCUCAAAACUUACUGUAACAGAACUCAAUGUUAACGUCAUUCCUCGCUAAGUUACAAAGUUAAGAAUAACACAGUGGUGUGAAUUUUUUAAUCAAAGAAGUACAAGGUAUUUUUAGAUUGUUUCUAAUGACAGAGUUUUACUGAUGUUCUUGUUUCCAUGCAUCUCCACAUAUCUCCACAACUGGAAAUUCCACUAGCAGUAUUCUUUCAUGUAUUCCUUUCUUCAUUCAUUCACUAACUACUUUUUGGAAGGGUACCAUGUGCGAGACACUGUUCUUGAUACAGAGAUGAACAAAAAAGAAAAAAUCUUUGCCAUAAUGGACCUUGCAUUCAAGUGUGGGGAGACAAGAACAUGUAAACCAAUAAUACUUUCAAAUAGUCUGAUAUGAAGAAUAUGCAACGCAGUAAAGAGAUACAAAGAGAGAGGGAGCUAUGUUAGAGAGGCUGGCCAAGUAAGGAUUUGCUAAAUUUUCACAUUUGAAAGGAAACCUAAAUGAUGUUUAUUAUCACGGGGAUCUUGAGGAUAAGUACUGAUGGCACAGGAAGCAGAAGGUACAAAUCCCUGAGGCGGCAAUUCAAGGAAUAGAAAGGCCAGGUGGCUGGAACACAGUAAACUAUAACAGAUUGUCUCCAUUAAAUGCAAAGAAAUUUAACUGAAAACAUAGUAAACCCUUCAUAUAUUUCCUAAGAAAUGCUGCACCUGACAGGGAGAAAAUAGAAGUUUUAGAUGUGAAUGAUGGGUAUUCUGAUAGACUCAAUAGUUAAGAGACACUCUCUCUCACAUCAGUCUGGCAGAAAAUAUGAUUCAAAUGAGUACAGUAGGGAAUUUAUAAAUUAUUACAUGUCAUGACCUUUGGAGUCUGAGGUAGAUUAAAACCACAAGAAUUGAC
rnacentral:lncRNA from 10 species